UUACUUUCCUUUAAUCAGAGCAGGUAGCAGCUAGUGUGUACUAUUGUCCAUUGUGUGGUAAUAGUCUCACCCAUCUCUUCGCAUUUCUUCGGAUUUUCCUUCCCAAUAAAAGCGGGAAUAUCAGAGAAAGGAAGUUUAUUAGAGAGAUUUCAUUUCAGAUAAGGGGAGAGAGAAACUUAUUAGAGUAUACUUGAAGUCUCCCAUUUCCUUUCUUUUCCUUUUUAAAACCGAAUAAACCCACACUUUUUCAUUUCUCUCUACUGCUAAAACCUUCAAAUAUUUUGUUUGUUGAAGAGGAAAACGGAGAAGAAGAAGAAGAGAUAAUUGAUUAAGCAGCAAUGGAGUACGAACUUGAAAAUCCUUUAACAGGAUUUGAAGAACAUCAAUCUGAUACCAUCCCGUCACUUUUCUCAUAUGAAUCUGAUCAUAUGACUUACAUUUCGACUUCCAAAAAUAGAGAUCUAGAUGUUUCUGUUCGUCGACAAGCAAUUCCUAUGAUUUUUCAGUUCUCGUGCAAUUCCGACCCGUUCAUACCUUAUUUAGCUGUGAAUUACCUCGAUCGGUUCAUCUCUAGACAAGAGUUGCCGCAUGGAAAACUGUGGAUGAUAAAGUUACUUUGCAUAUCUUGUCUAUCUCUUGCAGCGAAAAUGAAACAAAACGAUCUCUCUCUUACUGAUGAUAUUCAGAGAAAGGAAGGGUUUAUCUUCGAUACCGAAACGAUUCAGAGAAUGGAGCUUUUGAUUCUGGGAGCUCUUAAGUGGCGUAUGCGUUCCAUUACACCUUUCUCAUUCAUCUAUUUCUUUAUCUCUUUGCUCAAACUUAAGGAUCCUCAAUUAAGACAAGCUCUCAAAAAUCGUGCUACACAGAUUAUCUUCACAUCUCAACACGAAAUCAAACUAUUAGAGUUCAAGCCUUCAAUUAUCGCAGCUUCUGCGUUGAUUUCUGCAUCUCAUGAACUUUUCCCCUUGCAAUUCCCCAGUUUCAGAACGGCCAUUUCCUCAUGUAUUUAUAUAAAUAAGGAGAAAUUGUUGGAUUGUUGGAAUGUGAUGAAUUCAACAGUGAUGAACAGCUACGAAUCAGUUUUCGAUAUGAUAAUUUCUCUAUCCACAAACAACACACCAGUCAAUGUACUUGACCUACAUUUCUCAACAACAACAUCGCAAAGCGAGAAAGCAGCAGCAGCAACUGUAACGAUAACAGAAAGAGACAUUAAACGGCGGAAGAUAAGUGGGAGUGAUUUAGGCUACUGUGGUGACAAGUCGUCGUUUCAGGUUACUCAGAUCCAACAGUGUUAGUUUUAGCUUAUUCAUCACUCAUCUAAGUAUUAAUUUAGCUCGUAUCUCAACAGUCUCCUAGAGAAUGACAUCCAGCAGCAUAGAAUAGAAAACUGGUGGACGGAUGAUGGAUGGUUUAAUUUUUCAAAUUUCUUGUUUGGGAAUGAUGACGGAAUUCGAUAAAUGAUUGUAUGGCGAAGGCGGGAAAUUACUAUGGAGUAUAGUAAUCCUUAUGGAAAGAAUGCUGGCACAUCAAAUAGACAAAACAGGGAGAGCACAGUAUAUCCUUAAAUGAAGGGGUUUAUUGAAUGUGUAUUUAUUCAACUGAUAGCUAAAAUUUUAGUUUUAGCUACUACUAUUCUCAAAAGUCUAGACAGCUUACCAUGAAAAGGACUGCUACUUGACAAGAACUGAUGCAUUUAUUUUGAUCUCAUCCUUUCGCAAGAACUUCUCUUGUCACAAACAUAUCGGAUUUGUGAGAGUAACUCCAAGUUUGCAAAAC